GGCUGCCCACCUUUGCAAAGGCCAUGCGUCACUCCAAAUAAGGGUGGGGUCCACCCUAAAAUAAAAGGGAACCCUAGGUCUAGUGUCCUAUAAUAUUGGGCCCAACAACAUUUUCCAAAAAUUGGCCCACAAUGUAAAAGUUUGUCCAUAAAGUUUAAGCAAUUAAAAUUACAAUACAACUAAAAUUUAAAAUGUCUAAAUUUGAGAGUCUUGAAUUUAUUUGGUGUCCUCCAAAUGUCCCA
rnacentral:lncRNA from 1 species